rnacentral:rRNA from 1 species
CCUACGGGGGGCAUCAGUGGGGAAUAUUGGACAAUGGGGGCAACCCUGAUCCAGCCAUGCCGCGUGUGUGAAGAAGGCCCUCGGGUUGUAAAGCACUUUCAGUGAGGAAGAACGCCUGGUGGUUAAUACCCAUCAGGAAAGACAUCACUCACAGAAGAAGCACCGGCUAACUCCGUGCCAGCAGCCGCGGUAAUACGGAGGGUGCGAGCGUUAAUCGGAAUUACUGGGCGUAAAGCGCGCGUAGGUGGCUUGAUAAGCCGGUUGUGAAAGCCCCGGGCUCAACCUGGGAACGGCAUCCGGAACUGUCAAGCUAGAGUGCAGGAGAGGAAGGUAGAAUUCCCGGUGUAGCGGUGAAAUGCGUAGAGAUCGGGAGGAAUACCAGUGGCGAAGGCGGCCUUCUGGACUGACACUGACACUGAGGUGCGAAAGCGUGGGUAGCAAACAGGAUUAGAUACCCUGGUAGUC